UAGGGAAUCUUGGACAAUGGGCGAAAGCCUGAUCCAGCCAUGCCGCGUGAGUGAUGAAGGCCUUAGGGUUGUAAAGCUCUUUCGCCAGGGAAGAUAAUGACGGUACCUGGAUAAGAAGCCCCGGCUAACUUCGUGCCAGCAGCCGCGGUAAUACGAAGGGGGCUAGCGUUGUUCGGAAUUACUGGGCGUAAAGCGCACGUAGGCGGCUUUCCAAGUUGGAGGUGAAAUCCCCGGGCUUAACCCGGGAACUGCCUCCAAAACUGAAAGGCUAGAGUCCGAGAGAGGUGAGUGGAAUUUCCAGUGUAGAGGUGAAAUUCGUAGAUAUUGGAAAGAGCACCAGUGGCGAAGGCGGCUCACUGGCUCGGUACUGACGCUGAGGUGCGACAGCGUGGGGAGCAAACA
rnacentral:rRNA from 1 species